rnacentral:rRNA from 1 species
AGUGAACGCUGGCGGUAGGCCUAACACAUGCAAGUCGAACGGCAGCACAGUAAGAGCUUGCUCUUACGGGUGGCGAGUGGCGGACGGGUGAGGAAUACAUCGGAAUCUACUUUUUCGUGGGGGAUAACGUAGGGAAACUUACGCUAAUACCGCAUACGACCUACGGGUGAAAGCAGGAGAUCUUCGGACCUUGCGCGAUUGAAUGAGCCGAUGUCGGAUUAGCUAGUUGGCGGGGUAAAGGCCCACCAAGGCGACGAUCCGUAGCUGGUCUGAGAGGAUGAUCAGCCACACUGGAACUGAGACACGGUCCAGACUCCUACGGGAGGCAGCAGUGGGGAAUAUUGGACAAUGGGCGCAAGCCUGAUCCAGCCAUACCGCGUGGGUGAAGAAGGCCUUCGGGUUGUAAAGCCCUUUUGUUAGGAAAGAGAAGCAGCAGGUUAAUACCCCGCUGUUCUGACGGUACCCAAAGAAUAAGCACCGGCUAACUUCGUG